CACGUAGGGUGCAAGCGUUGUCCGGAAUUAUUGGGCGUAAAGGGCUCGUAGGCGGUCCGUCACGUCGGGAGUGAAAACUCGGGGCUCAACCCCGAGCCUGCUUCCGAUACGGGCGGACUAGAGGUAGGUAGGGGAGAACGGAAUUCCUGGUGUAGCGGUGGAAUGCGCAGAUAUCAGGAGGAACACCGGUGGCGAAGGCGGCUUCCUGGACCGACACUGACGCUGAGGCGCGAAAGCUAGGGGAGCAAACGGG
rnacentral:rRNA from 1 species